rnacentral:lncRNA from 1 species
GAGACAGGCAGAGGACAGGAAGCAGGUGGCUGUGAGGAGACAGCCCGGGCCUGUCCCCAAGCGGCCCCUCCAGAGUAGGAGGCAGACCUUCCCUGUCGGCCCAGGAGCCCCUUUCUCAGGGCAGAGGGUUCUGGUGAUGUUGAAGAGCUCCCCUCACUGCUGCCAGCAGUGUGCCGGGAUCGGCUGUGUGCCGGGAUCGGCUGUGUGCCGGGAUCGGCUGUGUGCCGGGAUCGGCUGUGUGCCGGGAUCGGCUGUGUGCCGGGAUCGGCUGUGUGCCGGGAUCGGCUGUGUGCCGGGAUCGGCUGUGUGCUGGGGUGGGCUGCCCACCUUUUACCUGCGCUCCCUCAUCUUAUCUUCCCUGCUGCCCUGGGAAGGGGUACUGCUGCCCCCCCAUGCUACAGGUGACAACACGAAGGGUCA